CUACACUGUUAAUACUAACAAGUCAGUACAAUGUGAAUACUUCGGUGUUCACGUGGCCUUCUCCUUAAGGGAGUGGGAAAUCUUUUCAAACAUUAACGUGACAGGGAUAGCUGUUUGGAAUUCCAUCUUGAACGAGGAAUUCCUAGUAAUCGCGAUUCAUUAUAUCGCAUUGAUUACGU
rnacentral:rRNA from 1 species